UAGCAACAGGGGGUAAAGCAGAAGUAAAAUUUUACUGUGUUUCCAAAACUGGAGGCUGCAGGAGGCAGCUCAGAGUGAACCAACAUGACUUUCUGCACAGCCAUUCUGGACGAACAGAGACCUUCCUGCAGAGAAAGCAAGCUGGGACUGCAGGGAAUGAUGCUGAAGUAUUUUAGGAAUGGCAGCCAUUUCCCUUUUUCAUUGCAGAAGAGUGGAGAAAAAAGUACAAUAGCAAAGAGAGAUUGAAAGUGAGGACAUUAAAAGUAUACAAAAAGCUAACGUUUAGAUGACUAAAACAUUUCCCAUUCACUUCCUUUAUAAUCACUAGCUAUAAAGACCAUGUUCUACAGAGUCUAAGACAUAUGAUGUCUGGGCCAUGACUAAAACUGUAGGUGUUAGACAGUCUUUCUAAAUCUGCUCUAGACAACCUGCUCAAUUCCAGCAAGUAGCUUUCCAGCCGAGGGGCCCCCAGCUGGGAGGGUGACUUCAUCCCAGCUCAAGAGAGGUUAAUCUCAACAAAGAGGAAGUCAGGCAAAAAGGUCAUAACGUCUGCUUGAAUUAAGAAGGAAUUCGUGUACAAACAAAAGUGAAGCAUACAGAGGGUGGAAGCAAGAAUGAGUAACCUGCAGAGAACACAGAGACUGUUCAAAUAUUCAGUGAUGACAUUAGGAAAGCUAGAGCUCUAAAGGAGUUGAAUCUGAACAGAGAUGUCAAAAGCAGUAGGAAAGCUUCUAUGGACAAGAGAGAAUGUGGGCUGAAUGAGAUGAGGACCUGGUUACAUAGGACAGGAAAAACAGCAAAGUACUGAAUGCUUUCUUUGCCUCAAUCUACUGGCAACACUGACCUUCAAGAACUCAGGUCUUGGAGACAGAUGGAAAGGCUGGAACAAGUACGUUACACUCUUUGUGAAAAAUGGUCAGGUCAGGAAAUGCUUACUUAAACAUACUUGCAGGCCCUGACGAGCUGCAACUGCAGUGCUGAGAGCCAGCAGAUGUCAUUGUGAGGCCACACUUUAUCAUCUUUCAUUGAUUCUGGCAGCUGAGAGAAGUGUCCAAAGUCUGAAGCAAAACAGAUGCCACUUCUAGCUUCGAGAAAGGCAAGAAGGAGGAUCUGAGGAGUAAAAGGCCAGUCAGCAUCAAUUUGAACCUUGGAAAUGUGAUCCCAGAAAGCAUUUUCAGGCAUAUGAAGGAGAAAAACAUCAUUAGUAAUAGUCAGCAGCAAUUCACCAAAGAGAAGUCAUACUUGAUCAGCUUUAUAAAUUUCUGUGAAGUGACUAGCCUGCUGGAUGUGUGAAGAGCAGUGGAUUUCUGUUGGGUCUCCCAUGAGAUCCUCACAGACAAGAUGCUGAAUUACAGGGUGAAUGGGCAGACAGUGACGUGGGUUGGACACUGAAUCACCAGGCCCAGAAUGUCGUGAUCAGCAGAAUAAAGGUGAUUUUAUUGCUGUGAACCCAUCCUGUCUACUCCCAGUCACCACUUUGUCCUUCAUAAAGUUUAGAAACGCCUUCUAAUAUUAUUUGCUACAUUGCCUUCACUGGGAUCAAGGUGAAGCUGACUGGUCUUUACUUCAAAGGAUCUGUCAUUGGUUCCUCUUGGAGACAGGAGUGGCAUUUGCUCUCUUCCAGUCCUCGGGAACUUCUCCCAUUUCCCAUGAAUUUUCAAAGGAAGCAUGGCCUCACAGUGAUGUCUGUGAGUUCCCUCAGCACUUGUGGAUGCACUCUGUUAACUCACACAGGGCUUGUGUACAGCCUGUUGUUUUCAAAGUUCCUCAGCUGGAUCCUUCUGAACCUGUGUCUUCAUUGCCUCUUACUGAAAAUCCUCAUUGAAAUCAA
rnacentral:lncRNA from 1 species